AGAAUAUCCACAUACAUCCACAUUUGCACAGGAUAUCCAUAGAACUAAUAUGGUCUGGAGUUCUGCUAGGAGGAAACGCAAGAGUCGUUGGGACUAUCAACCUGAUGAGCACUAUAAGAUGGUGGGACAAAAUAUCCAAAAGGUUUGUUCUGGGCAUGGUGGAUUUGAUGUUCAAUUUGGCUUCAUGAGAAACAAGUUGCAGAGGAACCAGGGAACAGACAACUGCCAUAAUGAUGUCCAUGGCAUGGGGAGUUCAACAGAGGGUGCAGAUGAUGAAGUGCCACCUGGGUUUGAGCCCCAACAGGAGUGUCAGCCUGCGCAACUUUCCAUAGGCAGUGAUGUUGCUCCAGGACUUUGCAUGGAGAGGUACCAACCUAGCUUGAGUGUUUCAUAUGGGGUUCCCGUCGCUCUUGUUCAGAACUUUGGAACCCCUGAAUCUGAAGGAGGCCAAGGCCACCAAAAAUGGAAAGUUGCACCUGGUGUGCCUUUUAGUCCCUUUCCACCAUUGCCUCCGUACCCACGAGGGAGUCCUUGUCCCUCCACUUCGUCAUCC
rnacentral:lncRNA from 1 species